GACGAACGCUUGCGGCGUGCCUAAGAAAUGCAAGUCGAGCGAGGUUUAGGCUUCGGCCGACGACCUAGCGGCGAACGGUCGCGUAACACGUAAGCAACCUGCCCUAAAGUUGGGGAUAGCCCGCCGAAAGGCGGAUUAAUACCGAAUGUGGAUAUGAUUUCGCAUGUGAUUAUAUCUGAAGCAGCGAUGCGCUUUAGGAUGGGCUUGCGGCCUAUCAGUUAGUUGGUGUGGGUAACGGCCUACCAAGACGACGACGGGUAGCUGGUCUGAGAGGAUGGUCAGCCGGAUUGGGACUGAGACACGGCCCAGACUCCUACGGGGGCAGCAAUUAGGAAUCUUGCGCAAUGGGCGAAAGCCUGACGCAGCGACGCCGCGUGACUGAUGAAGUCUUUCGAGAUGUAAAGGUCUUUUGUUGGGGACAAGGAAGUGACGGUACCCGACGAAUAAGCCCCGGUAACUACGUG
rnacentral:rRNA from 1 species